UUCUCUGCUCUGCUGCAGGUCAAAACAGAGGAUUCUCGAAUCCCUUUUUACUCUGUUUUAGUGCUUUUGAUUACAACAACAAUAGUUCCUAUCUUCCUAAUUACGGGUGGACCAGCGAAGAUAAUGCAGAGGAGCUUUAGUAGCAACUGUUUUGAGGGGAAACCCAUUUUUUUGAUCCAACCUCAAUUUGAUAGUUUAAUGGAGUCUUCAAAUUUUCAAAGCCAAGUGUUGAGCUCACCUGAAAACAGCUCCUCCUCUUCUGGCCAAAUGAGAAGGGUUUGUAGCGCUGGAAAUUUACAAGUUAGAUCCAACCUCUAUGAGUCUUGAUUGAUUGGUAGACUAUUGUGAUUGUC
rnacentral:lncRNA from 1 species